CAGAAAACAAACCCACUUCAAAGCCCUUCAUCAGCAAACAUCUCCAUCAGCGUUCUUCCUCACUUGCUCGAUCUAAGGAGAAUGACCCGAGCUACUACAUGUUCUCUGUGUCACGGCAAGCAACUUGGAGAGAGAGAGAGAGAGAUGGAGAUUCUGAGGUCACAAAGCCACCUCAGCCCAGAGCCUCACACUCCCCCUGGAGGACAUGAUGUGGAGACACUGCGAGACUGACUGAGUUUCUCCAACAUUGCUCACACUUUUCUUUCAAACACUGAAGGUUUGAACUGCACAUGACAAACUAUGUUCGAUGUGGGAAAACAUGAAAUUGUCCACCUUGGCAGAAAAAAUAAUA